CUUCGGUGAUGCAGCGAUGACGAGUCAGAAAGGCCACGUCCUGCCCUCGAUCCUUGUCAGCGCCUGCCGUUCUCUGGGGUGCUGCGUGGGUUCCUUUUGCAAAAGUGUCCUCCUGCUCAUUAAUUGAUGUAGAGACCUUUGUCUGAGAAGG
ensembl:snoRNA SNORD15 Small nucleolar RNA SNORD15